GGAUUAGAUACCCUGGUAGUCCACGCCCUAAACGAUGUAUGCUUGGUGUUGGCGGUUUACCGUCAGUGCCGGAGGAAAUCCGUUAAGCAUACCACCUGGGGAGUACGAUCGCAAGGUUGAAACUCAAAGGAAUUGACGGGGGCCCGCACAAGCGGUGGAUUAUGUGGUUUAAUUCGAUGCAACGCGAAGAACCUUACCCGGGCUUGAAGUGCAGUGGACAGUCUCUGAAAAGAGAUCUUUCUUCGGAACCGCUGUAGAGGUGCUGCAUGGCUGUCGUCAGCUCGUGCCG
rnacentral:rRNA from 1 species